rnacentral:tRNA from 1 species
AUAUAUAUCAAUGAAGUAAAUUAAAUAAUUUAUAUAAAUUAAAUUAUAUAUCACUUAAUAUUAAUAAACUUAAUAAUCUAUUUAUUAAUAAAAAUGGUAUAUUUAAUAUUAAAAUUAAAUUAAAUACUAUUUAAUAAAUAUUCUAUAAGUAAUUUCUUAUUUAUUUUAUAACAUUUUAAAAUGUUUUAUGUU